rnacentral:rRNA from 1 species
CCUCAAAUCAGGUAGGACUACCCGCUGAACUUAAGCAUAUCA